UACGGAGGAUGCGAGCGUUAUCCGGAUUUAUUGGGUUUAAAGGGUGCGUAGGCGGGAUGCCAAGUCAGCGGUAAAAAUGCGGUGCUCAACGCCGUCGAGCCGUUGAAACUGGCGUUCUUGAGUGGGCGAGAAGUAUGCGGAAUGCGUGGUGUAGCGGUGAAAUACAUAGAUAUCACGCAGAACUCCGAUUGCGAAGGCAGCAUACCGGCGCCCUACUGACGCUGAGGCACGAAAGCGUGGGUAUCGAACAGG
rnacentral:rRNA from 1 species